GCCAGAUGAGCGCCGCCCUCAAAUAAUGGCGGGUAUUUACGGCGGCAGGUUGAAUCAAAAAAAAAAAAAAAACGCCGUUGAGUUGAGUCAACACAGCUGGCUCCGGCGUGAUUUACGUCGGAGUGGCGUUUGGGUGGUACGAGUGAGGCAAGCGCAAGCCUGGAGCGAUCACGUUUCAGUCUGGAAAAAUUAUAAAAAUGAAAGUCAAUAUUUUUGACGCGAACGAAGCAAAAGUGGAGCCGGCGUGUGGGCACAAAGGGCUGAUUGAGAGCGCUGCACUGAAGGAUCCAGAUCUUGAUGUCAGCCUUCAUCAGAGUCUCUAUGGUUUCGGGCACCUUAUCUUGGAGCUUGUCCUCGAUGGCGGUGGCCCCCAACAACUGCAGGUUCUACAACAAGAAAAAAGAAGGGACGCCGGAAGUUGGCAGAC